GCGACAGAAGAGCCUUGAAAGCUUCAUCCGACAAAAAAUUCCAGCCAAAACCCAAGAACUUUCAAUUGCUGGCUUCUUCUUGAAAUUCCCCUCCAUUAUCUAUCCAAAUCCAAUCGUAGGUCCUUCUCUAAUCAAACCUUCACUGUCACUCCCUUAAUCAAGAAUGGCCAGCUCUCAUCAAUCUCAAAAUCUUGAUCUUGUUUUUAUAUGCAAG
rnacentral:misc_RNA from 1 species